GACGAACGCUGGCGGCGUGCCUAAUACAUGCAAGUAGAACGCAGUUUCGAACGGGUGAGUAACGCGUCGGUAACUGCCUCAUAGCGGGGGAUAACUAUCUGAAACGAUAGCUAAUACCGCCUACUUGGGGAUGGAUCUGCGUUGGAUUUUCUAGUUGGUGGGGUAAAGGCUCACCAAGGCGCCGAUACAUAGCCGACCUGGGAGGGUGAUCAGCCACCAUUGGACCUAGACACGGCCCAGGUUCCCAAGGGAGGCAGGAAUUGGGAAUUUUCGGAAAUUGGGCGAAGGCUUGACGAGCCACGCCGCGUGAUUGAAGGAGGUUUUUGGAGCGUAAAGCUCUGUUGUUAGGGAAGCGGUAACUAACCAAAAAGCGACGGCUAACUACGUGCCAGCAGCCGCGGUAAUAC
rnacentral:rRNA from 1 species